CAGCCGUAAACUAUGCGCGUUAGGUGUACUGGUGACCACGAGUCACCGGGGUGCCGAAGGGAAACCGUGAAACGUGCCGCCUGGGAAGUACGGUCGCAAGGCUGAAACUUAAAGGAAUUGGCCGGGGGAGCACCACAACGGGUGGAGCCUGCGGUUUAAUUGGAUUCAACGCCGGACAUCUCACCGGAUAAGACAGCUGAAUGAUUGUCAAUCUGAAGGUUUUACAUGACUAGCUGAGAGGAGGUGCAUGGCGUCAGUGACU
rnacentral:rRNA from 1 species